ensembl:snRNA U6 U6 spliceosomal RNA
GUUCUUGUUUUGGCAGCACAUGUAUGAAAAUUGGAAUGAUACAGAGAAGAUUAGCAUGGCCCUAGUGCAAGGAUGACAUGGAAAUUCACGAAGCAUUCGUUGUUGUU